AUACGUAGGGGGCGAGCGUUGUCCGGAAUGAUUGGGCGUAAAGGGCGCGUAGGCGGCCCGGUAAGUCUGGAGUGAAAGUCCUGUUUUUAAGAUGGGAAUUGCUUUGGAUACUGUCGGGCUUGAGUGCAGGAGAGGUAAGUGGAAUUCCCAGUGUAGCGGUGAAAUGCGUAGAGAUUGGGAGGAACACCAGUGGCGAAGGCGACUUACUGGACUGUAACUGACGCUGAGGCGCGAAAGUGUGGGGAGCAAACAGGAUAGAUACCCUGGUAGUCCACACUGUAAACGAUGAAUGCUAGGUGUAGGGGGUAUCGACCCCUUCUGUGCCGCAGUCAACACAAUAAGCAUUCCGCCUGGGGAGUACGGCCGCAAGGUUGAAACUCAAAUGAAUUGACGGGG
rnacentral:rRNA from 1 species